rnacentral:rRNA from 1 species
GAUGAACGCUGGCGGCGUGCCUAAUACAUGCAAGUCGAGCGAACGGACGAGAAGCUUGCUUCUCUGAUGUUAGCGGCGGACGGGUGAGUAACACGUGGAUAACCUACCUAUAAGACUGGGAUAACUUCGGGAAACCGGAGCUAAUACCGGAUAAUAUUUUGAACCGCAUGGUUCAAAAGUGAAAGACGGUCUUGCUGUCUCUUAUAGAUGGAUCCGCGCUGCAUUAGCUAGUUGGUGAGGUAACGGCUUACCAAGGCAACGAUGCAUAGCCGACCUGAGAGGGUGAUCGGCCACACUGGAACUGAGACGCGGUCCAGACUCCUGCGGGAGGCAGCAGUAGGGAAUCUUCCGCAAUGGGCGAAAGCCUGACGGAGCAACGCCGCGUGAGUGAUGAAAGUCUUCGGAUCGUAAAACUCUGUUAUUAGGGAAGAACAUAUGUGUAAGUAACUGUGCACAUCUUGACGGUACCUAAUCAGAAAGCCACGGCUAACUACGUG